AUUGAACGCUGGCGGCAUGCUUUACACAUGCAAGUCGAACGGUAACAGGCCUUCGGGUGCUGACGAGUGGCGAACGGGUGAGUAAUGCAUCGGAACGUACCCAGAGGUGGGGGAUAACGCAGCGAAAGCUGUGCUAAUACCGCAUGUGAUCUGAGGAUGAAAGCGGGGGACCGAGCAGCAAUGUUUGGCCUCGCGCCUUUGGAGCGGCCGAUGUCGGAUUAGCUAGUUGGUGGGGUAAAGGCCUACCAAGGCGACGAUCCGUAGCUGGUCUGAGACGACGACCAGCCACACUGGGACUGAGACACGGCCCAGACUCCUACGGGAGGCAGCAGUGGGGAAUUUUGGACAAUGGGCGCAAGCCUGAUCCAGCAAUGCCGCGUGCGGGAAGAAGGCCUUCGGGUUGUAAACCGCUUUUGGCAGGAACGAAACGGUGUCCGCUAAUACCGGGCGCUAAUGACGGUACCUGCAGAAUAAGCACCGGCUAACUACGUG
rnacentral:rRNA from 1 species